rnacentral:rRNA from 1 species
UACGUAGGUGGCAAGCGAUACUCGGAAUCACUGGGCGUAAAGCGCAGGUAGGCGGUUCGAUAAGUCUGUUGUGAAAGCUCCCGGCUUAACUGGGAGAGGUCAACGGAAACUGUCGGGCUAGAGUGUGGUAGAGGUAGCUGGAAUUCCCGGUGUAGCGGUGAAAUGCGCAGAUAUCAGGAAGAACACCCGUGGCGAAGGCGGCUCUCUGGGACGGUACUGACGCUGAGACGCGAAAGCGUGGGGAGCGAACAGG